rnacentral:rRNA from 1 species
AUGUUUGAAGCUGCGACGCAUACAACUUACAUUGCGCUAGACUAUGCCAUGGUUGAGCUUAUGCAGAAACCCCAUGUAAUGUCCAAGCUGCAAACGGAGGUGAGGAGGGGCAACACCAAUGGGAAAGAAUUGGUCACCCAAGAAGACCUGGGCAGCCUGACCUACCUGAAGGCAGUAAUGAAAGAGACGUUGCGGCUGCACCCACCAGGACCUCUCUUGGUACCCCACUUUUCCAUGUCCGAUUGCGACGUAGAGGGUUAUAUCAUACCCUCUAGGACACGAGUAGUCAUCAAUGUCCGACUGUGA